AGCUCCAAUAGCGUAUAUUAAAGUUGUUGCAGUUAAAAAGCUCGUAGUCGAAUUUCUGUCUACUAACGGCUGAUCGAUUUAUCGGUUUGGCAGUUGUAGGCAUCCUUCUAAGUCUCCUCUGGAGUGCUUAGAGCCUUUACUUUGAGAAAAUUAGAGCGUUCCAAGCAAGCGAUUGCUUUGAAUACUACAGCAUGGAAUAAUACUAUAGGACUUUUAUCCUAUUUUUUGGUUUAGGUUAGAAGUAAUGAUUAAUAGGGACAGUUGGGGGCAUUCGUAUUUGACAGUCAGAGGUGAAAUUCUUGGAUUUGUCAAAGACGAACUACUGCGAAAGCAUUUGCCAAGGAUGUUCUCA
rnacentral:rRNA from 1 species